rnacentral:rRNA from 1 species
AUUGAACGCUGGCGGCAUGCCUUACACAUGCAAGUCGAACGGCAGCACGGGAGCAAUCCUGGUGGCGAGUGGCGAACGGGUGAGUAAAGUAUCGGAACGUGCCCAGUCGUGGGGGAUAACGUAGCGAAAGUUACGCUAAUACCGCAUACGAUCUAUGGAUGAAAGCGGGGGAUCGCAAGACCUCGCGCGAUUGGAGCGGCCGAUAUCAGAUUAGGUAGUUGGUGGGGUAAAGGCCCACCAAGCCGACGAUCUGUAGCUGGUCAGAGAGGACGACCAGCCACACUGGGACUGAGACACGGCCCAGACUCCUACGGGAGGCAGCAGUGGGGAAUUUUGGACAAUGGGCGAAAGCCUGAUCCAGCCAUGCCGCGUGCAGGAUGAAGGCCUUCGGGUUGUAAACUGCCUUUGUACGGAACGAAAAGGACUGCCCUAAUACGGUGGUCCCAUGACGGUACCGUAAGAAUAAGCACCGGCUAACUACGUGCCAGCCGCCGCCGUAA